GGGCUCAAUUCAGUAGUAUGUGUACUAAAAUAAAAAUGAUGCAGAGAUUAGCAUGGCUCCUGGGAAAAAAUGACAUGCCAAAUCUUGAAGCAUUCCAUAUUUUU
ensembl:snRNA U6 U6 spliceosomal RNA